GACUUCACCCAAAAGUGCUUGUGGCAGACAGAAGGAGAAAGAAAUAAGUUUAUCACUGCCUCCCCCCCACACCGUCAACACGGAUCGUGAUACUCUGAGGACUCUAAGGGUGAAAUAUGAAGGGUUCCUAUUUGACUGCCUGUAAUAUAGAAUGAGACAAGGUGGCAUGGGAUCCUGAACUCUCCAGCGCAAAUAGAGAGAAAUAAACAACGAAGCGUACUUGUCACCACCACUGACAACCAUCAGGAUGUCGAAACAACACCGGCACAAACACAACAAUGCCUUCAGAUCUCCAUAUUUAGAUACGUGCGAUGUGUGUAAGCGCAGGAGGCAGCGACUUUCAACAGACACAUAGAGCCUAGGCUCCCAUAUUGACAGGGAUGAAG